GGAGGGGUGCUCCGAAUGGUAAGGAAGCGGUUUGCUAAACCGUAGGGGUCGAAAGGCCCCUUGUGGGUUCAAGUCCCACCCCCUCCGCCA
rnacentral:tRNA from 1 species